GAAAAUAAUAAUGAUUCUGCGAGUAGUGGCGAGCGAAAGUGGAUGAUGGCUAAACCAUAUGCGUGUGAUACUUGCUAGGGGUUGCGUGUGUGGUGUUGUGGGGCCGUGGUGUUGGGUGGCUAGUGACGCCCUCCUGCGCGUGGUGUGUUAGCGGAAGUGGUUUGGAAUGGCCUGCCGUAGACGGUGAGAGUCCGGUACGUGAAAGCACAUGGUGCGUGGGGUGCUGUGGUGCCCGAGUAGCAGUGGGCUCGUGGAAUCUGCUGUGAAUCUG
rnacentral:rRNA from 1 species